ACUUUAAAGAGUUUGAUCCUGGCUCAGGACGAACGCUGGCGGCACGCCUAACACAUGCAAGUCGAACGGUGAAGAGGAGCUUGCUCCUCGGAACAGUGGCGGACGGGUGAGUAACACGUGAGCAA
rnacentral:rRNA from 1 species